CCCACUCGGUACAUGUUUACCUGUUUGACCUUUUCCAUUUUCUGCCAUUCUUAAGUUACUAAAAUUGCCUAUAAGCAGCCUUGUGAAAAUUCCCAACUGAAUCAGAACCCGCAAGUAAAAUUUAAGUUUUGUAUAUAGUUUGGUGGUGUUUUAUUCAGGAAAAAAACCCCGAUGAUCUUCAAGGUCCCUUCCAUAAAUUCCAUAGAUCUAUGAAGGGUCUGUGGAAUGUGAACAGAGUUUGGUGGCAGCUGGCCUUGAAACAAGGACAUUUGCCAAUGUAACAUAUCCAAGGAUGAUCCUUGGGUGUCCCUUGAAGAGAAGGCAAAGGAAUCAGCCUUUGACAUGAGCUCCUGAAAACUGAAUGCAGAAGGAAUUGCUGGUGGCAACCCAAACCCAGAUAUGAGCAGGUCAGCAUGAUUCAUGCAACCACCAUCAGCCAAUGAGUGAUUGCCAAGUCACAGCUCAAUUGUUAGAGGAAUCUCUGUUGCCAUGAUGUCACAUGACACACCCAGCAACCAAAAGGAUAAGAAAGGAGCACAGACCAAUUGGACUUCACUUGGAAGGAGCAGGCAGUGGUGAAAGGAGCUCCUGAAUGAUUCUUACCACUAAGGAGUAUCCCACAACCAAGACACGGAGCAAGACUAACUUGGGAUGAGAUGCAUUCCAUCUGAAAGAUUUGAAGCAUCACUGCAGCAGUUCAAAGGGGUUUGACUCUUGAGGUGCCUGACGGCUAUUGCAGAGUGAGUACAUUGGUCAGACCCUAAACUAAUAUCAGGGAUACUGUUUGGCGUCUGCAGGGCUGGAAAUGAUGGUGACAACUAACAUUAUGUGAAAGCUUGAGAGGUUCUGGACACACAGAGUGACCAUAACCAAUGCCUGCGAGAGACAGGAUGGAUAAUUUCUAUCAACAACACAUUAUGCAGCACCAGGGCGUCCAGAUUCACUCGCACCCUCGUCUCCUUUGAGAGCGUGCCCAGAGGGAUCCGUGCUGGAGGGCAGGUGGUUGAUCCAGCUCCUCCGGUUUCAGCUGGCCAUAUUCAUGAUGCCCCGCGUCAGUGCUGAAGGUCCUGAGAGGUUUGGCCCUUGAGGUGCCCAAGAGCUGCUGCAGAGCGAGGACAUGGAUGAGAGCCUGAGGUCCUCUGAGGAGUGUUGCUGAGCACCUGUGGGGCUGGAGAUGGCGGCGACAAGUGGCAUCAUGUGAAGACUUGAGAGUUGUUGGACACAGAGAGUGACCUGUCUCUCCUUGGCUUUCCAGAGCCAAGGGCUGUGUGGAACAUGGUGGCUGCCCUGGAUCAACACCACCUUCUGCAGCACCAGGGCGUCCAGAUUCACUCGCACCCUCGUCUCCUUUGAGAGCGUGCCCAGAGGGAUCCGUGCUGGAGGGCAGGUGGUUGAUCCAGCUCCUCCGGUUUCAGCUGGCCAUAUUCAUGAUGCCCCGCGUCAGUGCUGAAGGUCCUGAGAGGUUUGGCCCUUGAGGUGCCCAAGAGCUGCUGCAGAGCGAGGACAUGGAUGAGAGCCUGAGGUCCUCUGAGGAGUGUUGCUGAGCACCUGUGGGGCUGGAGAUGGCGGCGACAAGUGGCAUCAUGUGAAGACUUGAGAGUUGUUGGACACAGAGAGUGACCUGUCUCUCCUUGGCUUUCCAGAGCCAAGGGCUGUGUGGAACAUGGUGGCUGCCCUGGAUCAACACCACCUUCUGCAGCACCAGGGCGUCCAGAUUCACUCGCACCCUCGUCUCCUUUGAGAGCGUGCCCAGAGGGAUCCGUGCUGGAGGGCAGGUGGUUGAUCCAGCUCCUCCGGUUUCAGCUGGCCAUAUUCAUGAUGCCCCGCGUCAGUGCUGAAGGUCCUGAGAGGUUUGGCCCUUGAGGUGCCCAAGAGCUGCUGCAGAGCGAGGACAUGGAUGAGAGCCUGAGGUCCUCUGAGGAGUGUUGCUGAGCACCUGUGGGGCUGGAGAUGGCGGCGACAAGUGGCAUCAUGUGAAGACUUGAGAGUUGUUGGACACAGAGAGUGACCUGUCUCUCCUUGGCUUUCCAGAGCCAAGGGCUGUGUGGAACAUGGUGGCUGCCCUGGAUCAACACCACCUUCUGCAGCACCAGGGCGUCCAGAUUCACUCGCACCCUCGUCUCCUUUGAGAGCGUGCCCAGAGGGAUCCGUGCUGGAGGGCAGGUGGUUGAUCCAGCUCCUCCGGUUUCAGCUGGCCAUAUUCAUGAUGCCCCGCGUCAGUGCUGAAGGUCCUGAGAGGUUUGGCCCUUGAGGUGCCCAAGAGCUGCUGCAGAGCGAGGACAUGGAUGAGAGCCUGAGGUCCUCUGAGGAGUGUUGCUGAGCACCUGUGGGGCUGGAGAUGGCGGCGACAAGUGGCAUCAUGUGAAGACUUGAGAGUUGUUGGACACAGAGAGUGACCUGUCUCUCCUUGGCUUUCCAGAGCCAAGGGCUGUGUGGAACAUGGUGGCUGCCCUGGAUCAACACCACCUUCUGCAGCACCAGGGCGUCCAGAUUCACUCGCACCCUCGUCUCCUUUGAGAGCGUGCCCAGAGGGAUCCGUGCUGGAGGGCAGGUGGUUGAUCCAGCUCCUCCGGUUUCAGCUGGCCAUAUUCAUGAUGCCCCGCGUCAGUGCUGAAGGUCCUGAGAGGUUUGGCCCUUGAGGUGCCCAAGAGCUGCUGCAGAGCGAGGACAUGGAUGAGAGCCUGAGGUCCUCUGAGGAGUGUUGCUGAGCACCUGUGGGGCUGGAGAUGGCGGCGACAAGUGGCAUCAUGUGAAGACUUGAGAGUUGUUGGACACAGAGAGUGACCUGUCUCUCCUUGGCUUUCCAGAGCCAAGGGCUGUGUGGAACAUGGUGGCUGCCCUGGAUCAACACCACCUUCUGCAGCACCAGGGCGUCCAGAUUCACUCGCACCCUCGUCUCCUUUGAGAGCGUGCCCAGAGGGAUCCGUGCUGGAGGGCAGGUGGUUGAUCCAGCUCCUCCGGUUUCAGCUGGCCAUAUUCAUGAUGCCCCGCGUCAGUGCUGAAGGUCCUGAGAGGUUUGGCCCUUGAGGUGCCCAAGAGCUGCUGCAGAGCGAGGACAUGGAUGAGAGCCUGAGGUCCUCUGAGGAGUGUUGCUGAGCACCUGUGGGGCUGGAGAUGGCGGCGACAAGUGGCAUCAUGUGAAGACUUGAGAGUUGUUGGACACAGAGAGUGACCUGUCUCUCCUUGGCUUUCCAGAGCCAAGGGCUGUGUGGAACAUGGUGGCUGCCCUGGAUCAACACCACCUUCUGCAGCACCAGGGCGUCCAGAUUCACUCGCACCCUCGUCUCCUUUGAGAGCGUGCCCAGAGGGAUCCGUGCUGGAGGGCAGGUGGUUGAUCCAGCUCCUCCGGUUUCAGCUGGCCAUAUUCAUGAUGCCCCGCGUCAGUGCUGAAGGUCCUGAGAGGUUUGGCCCUUGAGGUGCCCAAGAGCUGCUGCAGAGCGAGGACAUGGAUGAGAGCCUGAGGUCCUCUGAGGAGUGUUGCUGAGCACCUGUGGGGCUGGAGAUGGCGGCGACAAGUGGCAUCAUGUGAAGACUUGAGAGUUGUUGGACACAGAGAGUGACCUGUCUCUCCUUGGCUUUCCAGAGCCAAGGGCUGUGUGGAACAUGGUGGCUGCCCUGGAUCAACACCACCUUCUGCAGCACCAGGGCGUCCAGAUUCACUCGCACCCUCGUCUCCUUUGAGAGCGUGCCCAGAGGGAUCCGUGCUGGAGGGCAGGUGGUUGAUCCAGCUCCUCCGGUUUCAGCUGGCCAUAUUCAUGAUGCCCCGCGUCAGUGCUGAAGGUCCUGAGAGGUUUGGCCCUUGAGGUGCCCAAGAGCUGCUGCAGAGCGAGGACAUGGAUGAGAGCCUGAGGUCCUCUGAGGAGUGUUGCUGAGCACCUGUGGGGCUGGAGAUGGCGGCGACAAGUGGCAUCAUGUGAAGACUUGAGAGUUGUUGGACACAGAGAGUGACCUGUCUCUCCUUGGCUUUCCAGAGCCAAGGGCUGUGUGGAACAUGGUGGCUGCCCUGGAUCAACACCACCUUCUGCAGCACCAGGGCGUCCAGAUUCACUCGCACCCUCGUCUCCUUUGAGAGCGUGCCCAGAGGGAUCCGUGCUGGAGGGCAGGUGGUUGAUCCAGCUCCUCCGGUUUCAGCUGGCCAUAUUCAUGAUGCCCCGCGUCAGUGCUGAAGGUCCUGAGAGGUUUGGCCCUUGAGGUGCCCAAGAGCUGCUGCAGAGCGAGGACAUGGAUGAGAGCCUGAGGUCCUCUGAGGAGUGUUGCUGAGCACCUGUGGGGCUGGAGAUGGCGGCGACAAGUGGCAUCAUGUGAAGACUUGAGAGUUGUUGGACACAGAGAGUGACCUGUCUCUCCUUGGCUUUCCAGAGCCAAGGGCUGUGUGGAACAUGGUGGCUGCCCUGGAUCAACACCACCUUCUGCAGCACCAGGGCGUCCAGAUUCACUCGCACCCUCGUCUCCUUUGAGAGCGUGCCCAGAGGGAUCCGUGCUGGAGGGCAGGUGGUUGAUCCAGCUCCUCCGGUUUCAGCUGGCCAUAUUCAUGAUGCCCCGCGUCAGUGCUGAAGGUCCUGAGAGGUUUGGCCCUUGAGGUGCCCAAGAGCUGCUGCAGAGCGAGGACAUGGAUGAGAGCCUGAGGUCCUCUGAGGAGUGUUGCUGAGCACCUGUGGGGCUGGAGAUGGCGGCGACAAGUGGCAUCAUGUGAAGACUUGAGAGUUGUUGGACACAGAGAGUGACCUGUCUCUCCUUGGCUUUCCAGAGCCAAGGGCUGUGUGGAACAUGGUGGCUGCCCUGGAUCAACACCACCUUCUGCAGCACCAGGGCGUCCAGAUUCACUCGCACCCUCGUCUCCUUUGAGAGCGUGCCCAGAGGGAUCCGUGCUGGAGGGCAGGUGGUUGAUCCAGCUCCUCCGGUUUCAGCUGGCCAUAUUCAUGAUGCCCCGCGUCAGUGCUGAAGGUCCUGAGAGGUUUGGCCCUUGAGGUGCCCAAGAGCUGCUGCAGAGCGAGGACAUGGAUGAGAGCCUGAGGUCCUCUGAGGAGUGUUGCUGAGCACCUGUGGGGCUGGAGAUGGCGGCGACAAGUGGCAUCAUGUGAAGACUUGAGAGUUGUUGGACACAGAGAGUGACCUGUCUCUCCUUGGCUUUCCAGAGCCAAGGGCUGUGUGGAACAUGGUGGCUGCCCUGGAUCAACACCACCUUCUGCAGCACCAGGGCGUCCAGAUUCACUCGCACCCUCGUCUCCUUUGAGAGCGUGCCCAGAGGGAUCCGUGCUGGAGGGCAGGUGGUUGAUCCAGCUCCUCCGGUUUCAGCUGGCCAUAUUCAUGAUGCCCCGCGUCAGUGCUGAAGGUCCUGAGAGGUUUGGCCCUUGAGGUGCCCAAGAGCUGCUGCAGAGCGAGGACAUGGAUGAGAGCCUGAGGUCCUCUGAGGAGUGUUGCUGAGCACCUGUGGGGCUGGAGAUGGCGGCGACAAGUGGCAUCAUGUGAAGACUUGAGAGUUGUUGGACACAGAGAGUGACCUGUCUCUCCUUGGCUUUCCAGAGCCAAGGGCUGUGUGGAACAUGGUGGCUGCCCUGGAUCAACACCACCUUCUGCAGCACCAGGUAUCUUUCUCUCUUGCUGCUUUUCCUCUUCUUCUGUUUCUUCUUUUCCAUCUACAGCUGGGCAGUAGCUUGCUUCAGGAUAGAGUUUAGUCUUCCUGGUAGCUGGCUUAUGGUUGCACUCGAUGACCUUCAAGGUCUUUUGCAACCUGCAUGAUUUUGAUGAUGUUAUGAUUCCACCUUGUCCACAUCUUGCUUUUCUGCGUCGUGGCCCUCUUUUUCCCCUUUGUCUUCUUUGCGGAGAAGACGUUGGUCUUGGGGAGGCCGUGUUGGGCAUGGGUGGGCCUGGGGAAAUCUCGGUGGAUUUGGGGAGAAGACAUGAAUGACGGAGAGGAAAAAAGAAGGGGAUGAAGCAGGAGCCGAUGGCACACAAGGCUGUGCUUGUGGAUUAGAAGGGUGCGAGUGUGGGUCAGGCCUCGUAAGAGGCCGUCCAGGGAGGUGGUGGAGUCACCAUCUCUGUAAGAGUUUGAGAAGCGUGUAGAUGUGGCGCUUCAGGACAGAGUUUAGUGGUGAUGCUGGUUGACUUUGGGUUGGAGUGGAUGAUGCUAAAGGUGUUUUCCAACCUUCACGAUUGGAAUGAGUCUUAAUGAGUCUAUGCUUCUGCAUCAUCCCCUUCUUUCUCUUCUGCGUUGUGGCCUUUGUGCUCUGCGUCGUGGUCUCUUGCGUCGUGGCCUUCUUCUUCUUUCCUGUUUUCUUGUUUGAGAGAGGAAAGGGUGGGCUUGGGGAGGAGAUGGUGGAUUGGAGGAGAAAGUGGUGGGAUUGGGGAGAGGGCUUG